rnacentral:rRNA from 1 species
UACGGGGGGGGCAAGCGUUGUUCGGAAUUACUGGGCGUAAAGGGCUCGUAGGCGGCCAACUAAGUCAGACGUGAAAUCCCUCGGCUUAACCGGGGAACUGCGUCUGAUACUGGAUGGCUUGAGUUUGGGAGAGGGAUGCGGAAUUCCAGGUGUAGCGGUGAAAUCUGUAGAUAUCGAGAGGAACACCGGUGGCGAAGGCGGCUUCCUGGCCCGUACCUGACGCUGAGGCGCGAAAGCGUGGGGAGCAAACAGG